UCGGGAAUUUUGGGCAAUGGGCGAAAGCCUGACCCAGCAACGCCGCGUGAAGGAUGAAGUAUUUCGGUAUGUAAACUUCGAAAGAAUGGGAAGAAUAAAUGACGGUACCAUUUAUAAGGUCCGGCUAACUACGUGCCAGCAGCCGCGGUAAUACGUAGGGACCAAGCGUUGUUCGGAUUUACUGGGCGUAAAGGGCGCGUAGGCGGCUUAACAAGUCACUUGUGAAAUCUCCGGGCUUAACUCGGAACGGCCAAGUGAAACUGUUAAGCUAGAGUGCAGAAGGGGCAAUCGGAAUUCUUGGUGUAGCGGUGAAAUGCGUAGAUAUCAAGAGGAACACCUGAGGUGAAGACGGGUUGCUGGGCUGACACUGACGCUGAGGCGCGAAAGCCAGGGGAGCAAACGGGAUUAGAUACCCAAGUAGUCCCUGAGCGGGCUGGCAAGGCGCAU
rnacentral:rRNA from 1 species